AGUGAACGCUGGCGGUAGGCCUAACACAUGCAAGUCGAACGGCAGCACAGUAAGAGCUUGCUCUUACGGGAGGCGAGUGGCGGACGGGUGAGGAAUACAUAGGAAUGUACUUUUUCGUGGGGGAUAACGUAGGGAAACUUACGCUAAUACCGCAUACGACCUACGGGUGAAAGCAGGGGAUCUUCGGACCUUGCGCGAAUGAAUGAGCCGAUGUCGGAUUAGCUGGUUGGCGGGGUAAAGGCCCACCAAGGAGACGAUCCGUAGCUGGUCUGAGAGGAUGAUCGGCCACACUAGAACUGAGUCACGCUCCAGACUCCUACGGGAGGCAGCAGUGGGGAAUAUUGGACAAUGGGCGCAAGCCUGUUCCAGCCAUACCGCGUGGGUCAAGAAGGCCUUCGGGUUGUAAAGCCCUUUUGUUGGGAAAGAAAAGCAGCAGGUUAAUACCCCGCUGUUCUGACGGUACCCAAAGAAUAAGCACCGGCUAACUUCGUG
rnacentral:rRNA from 1 species